rnacentral:rRNA from 1 species
UACACUCCUACGGGAGGCAGCAGUGGGGAAUUUUGGACAAUGGGCGAAAGCCUGAUCCAGCCAUGCCGCGUGCAGGAUGAAGGCCUUCGGGUUGUAAACUGCUUUUGUACGGAACGAAACGGCCUUUUCUAAUAAAGAGGGCUAAUGACGGUACCGUAAGAAUAAGCACCGGCUAACUACGUGCCAGCAGCCGCGGUAAUACGUAGGGUGCAAGCGUUAAUCGGAAUUACUGGGCGUAAAGCGUGCGCAGGCGGUUAUGUAAGACAGUUGUGAAAUCCCCGGGCUCAACCUGGGAACUGCAUCUGUGACUGCAUAGCUAGAGUACUGUAGAGGGGGAUGGAAUUCCGCGUGUAGCAGUGAAAUGCGUAGAUAUGCGGGGGAACACCGAUGGCGAAGGCAAUCCCCUGGACCUGUACUGACGCUCAUGCACGAAAGCGUGGGGAGCAAACAGGAUUAGAAACCCGGGUAGUCCCAUGA